rnacentral:rRNA from 1 species
UCUGGAGACAGGUGCUGCAUGGCUGUCGUCAGCUCGUGUCGUGAGAUGUUGGGUUAAGUCCCGCAACGAGCGCAACCCUUGCCUUUAGUUGCCAGCAGUUCGGCUGGGCACUCUAAAGGGACUGCCGGUGUUAAACCGGAGGAAGUGGGGGAUGACGUCAAGUCCUCAUGGCCUUUAUGACCAGGGCUACACACGUACUACAAUGGCCGAUACAAAGGGCAGCGACACUGCGAGGUGAAGCCAAUCCCGUAAAAUCGGUCUCAGUCCGGAUUGGAGUCUGCAACUCGACUCCAUGAAGUUGGAAUCGCUAGUAAUCGUGGAUCAGCAUGCCACGGUGAAUACGUUCCCGGGCCUU